rnacentral:misc_RNA from 1 species
GGGCCUCUCUUUGUUUCUCUCUCCUUUAUCUUCUCCGGAACUUCUCUUCUUCUCUCUCUCUCCUUUGCUAUCUGCCUCAAGAUUCGUUCUUCACACUGCAAAGUGCAAAUCUCCUCUGUGUAGUGAUUUUUCUCAGGCCUUAUUCUUCUUCUUUUCUUUUUUUUUUUUUUUUAAAUUUUCUUUUAUCGUAUCGGUUCAUGUUGCUCGCAUUUACAUAAGCUCAUAUUGCAACAAUUAUUGCUAUUUUUGAUGAUUGAAUACCCUGUGGCUUAGGAAAGCUGAGGGUAGAAUCUUUGGAAAACAUCUCAUUACUAACAGUUCCAUGUCCCCAGCACUCUAGGGAUGUCUCGGAAACAAUUAUCAGGCCACAAACAAAAUAUAAUCUUCAACUCUCCCGGAAAAUAUCAAAUAAAAAAGAUUUGGCGGAGAAAAUUGAAAGUGCUCUCAGCAAGAAAAGACGCUACAGAGUUGAGCAGAUAUUUCUACUUUUUAGAUUUGUACUGUUUUAUCUCUUUAAUAAUACCAUCUGCCAGUGACUCGACAUCAUUGUUCUUCCCAAAGAACUUCACAAAUUCCAUGCGAGGAUCCAUCAAGUACAUGACUAUGGAGUGAUCGACCAGAUAAUCUGAAUCUUCCUCUGCUGUCUUCAUAUAAUAGACCCGAUAUGCACGAGCAGCUUUCUUUAUCUCAUCAGGGUUGCCAGUUAACCCAAUUAAUUUUGGAUGGAACUCUUUGACAUAUUCGUGCACUUGCUCAACAGUAUCUCUCUCAGGAUCGACAGAGAUGAAAACAGGCACAAGUUCAAACCCUGAUUUUUCCUUUAUUUUAUCAACUGCAGCAGCAAGCUUUUGCAGCUCAUCCGGGCAAAUAUCAGGGCAGUGAGUGAAACCAAAAUAUAUUAAUGUCCAGUUACCCACAAAAUCUUUCUCUGUUACAUUCUUCCCAUCAUGGUUGAUGAGAUUAAAUGGCCCCCCAAUGGCUGCUUUUCCCACAGAUGGUCCCUCUUUUGCAGCCUCAGAAGCUUUAUUUAUUUCUUCAAUAUGCCGCUUCUUCUCCCUAUCGUAGUAUAAGAUUAUUCCAACUCCAGUGGCCAUCAGCAACAGAAAACUCAACCACGAUACAGGCCCUCCGCGUACAGGUUUUCCAGCAUCACUGUCCUGCUGCGAAUCGCCUGACUUCUCACCUCCAUCCGAUUUAGUGUCUUCAGCUUUUCCUGAAGUUUCUGAGCUAACAGUACCAGUACUUGCACUUGCACUAGAUAAAAAUCUCUGAUAAGUCCACAUGGAAUGCACUCCUACAUCUACAGGUAUAACCGAGCAAAAGAGAGAGAGAUUUCGAUUAUCGAAUACCGGCGACGGUGAUGGUAAUGGCGGCGGCGGCAGCACGGACGGUCUGCAUUGACCGAGGAAGCGAAAAUAGAUAAAGCGACGGGCAUUUCUCGAUAGAACAGACGCCAUAUGUGAAUCUUGGAAGCUUACACAGCGUUUCAGUGUUCGAAUAAACCCUAUCAAAGGGGCUUUCUCCUUAUGCGUUGAGUAUGGGCUUUCAGAUCAAGGAACUGCAGUCCCCUCCAGGGUUUAUAGAGGCUUAGAUCCA